ACCUACGGGGGGCAGCAGUGGGGAAUAUUGGGCAAUGGGCGCAAGCCUGACCCAGCAACGCCGCGUGAAGGAAGAAGGCUUUCGGGUUGUAAACUUCUUUUCUGAGGGACGAAGAAAGUGACGGUACCUCAGGAAUAAGCCACGGCUAACUACGUGCCAGCAGCCGCGGUAAUACGUAGGUGGCAAGCGUUAUCCGGAUUUAUUGGGUGUAAAGGGCGUGUAGGCGGGAAAGCAAGACAGAUGUGAAA
rnacentral:rRNA from 1 species